CAUGCAGUCGAGGGGCAGCAUCAUCAAAGCUUGCUUUGAUGGAUGGCGACCGGCGCACGGGUGAGUAACACGUAUCCAACCUGCCGACAACACUGGGAUAGCCUUUCGAAAGAAAGAUUAAUACCGGAUGGCAUAAUUAUUCCGCAUGGGAUAAUUAUUAAAGAAUUUCGGUUGUCGAUGGGGAUGCGUUCCAUUAGGCAGUUGGCGGGGUAACGGCCCACCAAACCUACGAUGGAUAGGGGUUCUGAGAGGAAGGUCCCCCACAUUGGAACUGAGACACGGUCCAAACUCCUACGGGAGGCAGCAGUGAGGAAUAUUGGUCAAUGGACGAGAGUCUGAACCAGCCAAGUAGCGUGAAGGAUGACUGCCCUAUGGGCUGUAAACUUCUUUUAUACGGGAAUAAAGUGAGCCACGUGUGGCUUUUUGUAUGUACCGUAUGAAUAAGGAUCGGCUAACUCCGUGCCAGCAGCCGCGGUAAUACGGAGGAUCCGAGCGUUAUCCGGAUUUAUUGGGUUUAAAGGGAGCGUAGGCGGGUUGUUAAGUCAGUUGUGAAAGUUUGCGGCUCAACCGUAAAAUUGCAGUUGAUACUGGCGACCUUGAGUGCAACAGAGGUAGGCGGAAUUCGUGGUGUAGCGGUGAAAUGCUUAGAUAUCACGAAGAACUCCGAUUGCGAAGGCAGCUUACUGGAUUGUAACUGACGCUGAUGC
rnacentral:rRNA from 1 species